rnacentral:rRNA from 1 species
UACAGAGGGUGCAAGCGUUGUUCGGAAUUACUGGGCGUAAAGGGCGUGAAGGCGGCUUAGCAAGUCAGAUGUGAAAUCCCGGGGCUUAACUUCGGAAGUGCAUUUGAAACUGCUAGGCUAGAGUGAAGUAGAGGUUGGUGGAAUUCCCAGUGUAGAGGUGAGAUUCGUAGAUAUUGGGAGGAACACCGGUGGCGAAGGCGGCCAACUGGGCUUUAACUGACGCUGAGGCGCGAAAGCGUGGGGAGCAAACAGG